rnacentral:rRNA from 1 species
UACGGAGGGUGCAAGCGUUAUCCGGAUUUACUGGGUUUAAAGGGUGCGUAGGUGGGUUGGUAAGUCAGUGGUGAAAUCUUCGAGCUUAACUCGGAAACUGCCAUUGAUACUAUCAAUCUUGAAUACUUUGGAGGUAAGCGGAAUACGUCAUGUAGCGGUGAAAUGCUUAGAUAUGACAUAGAACACCAAUUGCGAAGGCAGCUUGCUACACAGUUAUUGACACUGAGGCACGAAAGCGUGGGGAUCAAACAGG